AUAUUAAUAAGAUAAAGUUCUGUUAACUUUCAAAGUUAAAAGUGCUCUAAUGUG
rnacentral:tRNA from 1 species